AGAGAGAGAGAUUGUUAUGUUUGAAAAUGGCGAACCCUAGAAGAAGCUCACAUUCAAUCUCAGACAGCCCAUCAUCAAAUCCACCCCCACUACAGAUUCAAAGUCAAAGCCAUAUCCUUCUUCACUUCCUGAAGAAGCCUCAGGCCUUCCCUUUCCUCCUCUUCCUCUUCCUUCUUCUCACAUGGCUCUUUCUCCGACUCCAUUCCCCAACUCCCAAUUCUCCUCUUCAUUCUUCUUCUUCUUCUCAUCAAUGGACCCAAUUCGAUGAUUCCCGCGCCAAUCUUCGAAGAUUCUCUUCUGGGUUUCCUUCUACACUCGCUAAAGAUCACAGGGGCUGGUUAUUCAACCCCAUUUCUCUCGCUCUUCAUUCUCGCCUCUCCGGUGGUGCUGUAAGUUGUGUGUCUGUUCAUGUUGGAGAGAUUCGACCCGGUGGUUUACGAGGAAAUCACAGACACUACUCUUGUAAUGAAACAUUUGUCAUAUGGGGAGCUAAAACAAAAUUCAGGUUGGAGAACAAUGAAGCAAAAGAAGGUUAUGCUGAGGUGAUAAUCGGUGCAGAUGAGGUUGCUCUUGCGGCGAGCCCAAGUGGAACUGCUCAUGCUAUAAUAAACAUGGAUCCAAUGCGUUCUACCUACUUGUUAGGAUGCCAAGAUAGCAUUGUAAACUAUAACAGUUCAGCUACUGACUUUAAUGUUUGGAAAGAUCUUUAAGUUUCGUUUCUCCUUCUUUCCAGGCAAGUUUUUCCAAUCUAAGUGACUUGGGUUGGGACUCUUACCAUGUCUAUAUCUAUAUAUUUAAUUGAAAUGACCACAGUUUCAUUACUUUAAAUAUUUUAUUUGAUUUCGGGAUAUGUUAUGGUUUGCUUGAAGGAAACAAAAAACAAGUAAAAGAUCGAAAUUGUUGUUUGAUGGUUUUUGGAAACCUAGCAUACUUGCUCAAGUUUUACUUUCCUCAACAAACCGCGAAUGGAUUGGUUGAAGAAGCAGCUUCUUGGACAGCUAUGAUUUCUGGCUAUGCUCGUUGUGGUCAAAAAGGCGACACUAUAAGAUUGUUGGGGAGAAUGCUGUUCAGGAAUUUGUAUACUUGGAUAUCAAUAAUUGUUGGUUCUGCUCAACUUGGUCAAGCCAAGAUGGUCAAGCCAAAUGAAGUUACUUUUGUCGGUUUGCUCUAUUCUUGUAGCCAUGUUGGUUUAGUCAACAGAGGAAGAGUUUUCUUUCGAUUCGAUGAUCAAGGAUUAUGGAAUUAAUCCCUCUCUUCAACACUACACUUGCUUUGUUGAUCUUCUUAGUCGUUCAGGACACUUUGAUGAGGCUGAGAAUGUUUAAACUUGAUCCCUUUCGAGCUCGAUGAAGCUAUUUGGGCAGCAUUGUUAACUUCUUGCAAGAAUCUGGGAAAUACCCAGAUGGCGAUUAGGAUAGCGAAUCGAAUUUCGAGUACUAAACUCAAAGACCCUUCUACUUACAUAAUGUUAUCUAAUGUCUAUGCAGGAGCUAAUAAGUGGGAAAAUGUGUCAAAAGUGAGAAAGCUAAUGACUUCUCUAGAUGUUAAGAAGAAACCGGGUUAUAGCUCCAUCGAGUUUGGAAAAGAAAGCAAGAGAAGGAAAGGCAACUGUUUUCGCAUAGCGAGAGGUUGGCUGUAGCUUUCGGGUUGCUCAAGGCUGUCCCGGGGACAGUUAUUCGGGUAGUGAAAAACCUUCGGGUUUGUGGAGAUUGUCAUACAGUUUUGAAAUUCAUAAGUAGUAUUGUUGAGAGGGAGAUUGUUGUUAGAGAUGCUAAUAGAUAUCAUCAUUUCAAGGAUGGGAAUUGUUCAUGCAAUGAUUUUUGGUGAUAACUAUAAUAACAAACAUAGUUGUAAAUCUUUUUCUCUCUUAGCCAAGAGUGUUCUUUAGUUAUUUACUUUGGUUAAUUUG